UACAGUGUGGCAUAGUGGUUUGAAUGCUGGACUAUGACUCUGGAGACCAGGGUUCGAAUACCUACUCAGCCA